rnacentral:lncRNA from 1 species
AACAGUUUAAUAAACUAUCUGAAGAAUUUUGCAUAUUAGUUUGUCUUAUAGUGUUAUGGAUCACUAGAUAGUUACAACUUGGAGUGAAGUUAGUUCAUUGUUUUUUCAGAGCAGCAGCAGAGCAGCAGCAUGGCAGAAACAGCAGCAGCCCAGCCUAUCAGUCCACCCUAUCAUGGGUACAUGAGAGGCUGCAACCAAAUGUGUGGAAGCAAGUUUGAAGGGUGCCUUCUUCCAACUGUUGUCUUGAGAUCUCUCCACAGGUUUUUUAUGAGACUUGAAUAGACUCAUUGAUGGCCACUUUAGGAUCAUAUCUGGUUACUUUUUACUUUUUGGUGUUUUAGGUCAUUGUCCUACUGAGAUGACUAAUAACCUUGCAUUAUACCCCUUGAUUUUUAUCAGUCUUUAGAUUUCAUAAUGCCAUGUACACAGACAAGGUCUCUGGUGAAAAAGGGUCCCAAUAUUUUCAUCCAUGAUUGUACAUGCCUUGAUAAUUUAAAACUACCCUUUUGAACUAGACGAUUCUUUUUUCAGCUCUUCUGAAAGAAGUUCUUGUCAAUCAACAAAUUCUGAUGGAUCAGCAAAAGAACAUAAUCCGAAUGAUCCAAGACAUGCAGAGAUCCACCAAUGCUGUCACAGGGAUUCCCACCACUAACAUAUUUCCCUUGAAUGAUAAGCCUGCCCUGUAUGCUCUUGAGAGGGAUCUAGGAAGUCAACCAGACCUCCGUAACAAACUGGUCAUCACUCUUGGAUUGGUGGGAGGGGCAACAGUUAAAGAAACUGUGUGGCGCAUUCUGAAGCAGGCAUCAAAAAUGAUCUUGCGAAGACCAUAUCAUGGCGCGGCCUGAAUGGGAAAGUGCUGUUUGAAAAGCUCCACCUCAGGGCAGUUGUGACAGAUGCUGUCAGACGUAACCCUGUAUGCAUUGAAGCCACUGAUCUGAGCAUCGCUGAUGCAAUUAAACGGUGGUUCUACUGGGCAGGGGAUAGGGAGGGGGGGGAGGAAAAAUCGGCUGCCAGGCGCCAGCCGGCCGACAGUAUAAAUUUGUGUUAAAAAAAACAAAUGUCUUAAAAUUAAUUGAUGAGCAAGAGACACCAGAAUAACCAGUUUCGUUUUUUAUACAUACAGUUAUAACACAUAAAUAGCAC